rnacentral:rRNA from 1 species
GACGAACGCUGGCGGCGUGCUUAACACAUGCAAGUCGAACGGAGCACCCCUGAAGGAGUUUUCGGACAACGGAUGGGAAUGCUUAGUGGCGGACUGGUGAGUAACGCGUGAGGAACCUGCCUUCCAGAGGGGGACAACAGUUGGAAACGACUGCUAAUACCGCAUGAUGCAUUGAAGUCGCAUGGCUUUGAUGUCAAAGAUUUAUCGCUGGAAGAUGGCCUCGCGUCUGAUUAGCUAGUUGGUGAGGUAACGGCCCACCAAGGCGACGAUCAGUAGCCGGACUGAGAGGUUGGCCGGCCACAUUGGGACUGAGAUACGGCCCAG